UUGAUCCUGCCGGAGGCCAUUGCUAUCGGAAUCCGAUUUAGCCAUGCUAGUCGCACGGGUCAGACCCGUGGCGAACAGCUCAGUAACACGUGGUCAAACUACCCUGUGGACGGGGAUAAUCUCGGGAAACUGAGGCUAAUCCUCGAUAGGGCUUCCAUCCUGGAGUGGAGGAAGUCCAAAGGUUGCGCUGCGGCACCACAGGAUGUGGCUGCGGCCGAUUAGGUAGACGGUGGGGUAACGGCCCACCGUGCCAGUAAUCGGUACGGGUGAUGAGAGUCAGAGCCCGGAGACGGUAUCUGAGACAAGAUACCGGGCCCUACGGGGCGCAGCAGGCGCGAAACCUUUACACUGCACGACAGUGCGAUAGGGGGAUUCCGAGUGCGAGGGCAUACAGUCCUCGCUUUUCUGGACCGUAAGGAGGUCCAAGAAUAAGGGCUGGGCAAGACCGGUGCCAGCCGCCGCGGUAAUACCGGCAGCCCGAGUGAUGGCCGAUAUUAUUGGGCCUAAAGCGUCCGUAGCUGGCCGGACAAGUCUGUUGGGAAAUCCACGCGCUCAACGCGUGGGCGUCCAGCGGAAACUGUCUGGCUUGGGGCCGGAGGACUCGAGGGGUACGUCUGGGGUAGGAGUGAAAUCCCGUAAUCCUGGACGGACCACCGGUGGCGAAAGUGCCUCGAGAGGACGGACCCGACGGUGAGGAACGAAAGCCAGGGUCUCGAACCGGAUUAGAUACCCGGGUAGUCCUGGCCGUAAACGAUGUCUGCUAGGUGUGGCACAGGCUACGAGCCUGUGCUGUGCCGCAGGGAAGCCGUGAAGCAGACCGCCUGGGAAGUACGUCCGCAAGGAUGAAACUUAAAGGAAUUGGCGGGGGAGCACUACAACCGGAGGAGCCUGCGGUUUAAUUGGACUCAACGCCGGACAUCUCACCAGCCCCGACAUCAGUAAUGACAGUCAUGUUGACGACAUCCACUCGAGCUGAUGAGAGGAGGUGCAUGGCCGCCGUCAGCUCGUACCGUGAGGCAUCCUGUUAAGUCAGGCAACGAGCGAGAUCCACGUUCCUAAUUGCCAGCACCAUCGCACGAUGGGUGGGUACAUUAGGAAGACUGCCAGUGCUAAACUGGAGGAAGGAAUGGGCAACGGUAGGUCAGUAUGCCCCGAAUGGGCUGGGCAACACGCGGGCUACAAUGGUCAGGACAACGGGUUCCAACACUGAAAAGUGACGGCAAUCUCGCAAACCUGGUCGUAGUUCGGAUUGCGGGCUGAAACUCGCCCGCAUGAAGCUGGAUUCGGUAGUAAUCGCGUGUCAGCAGCGCGCGGUGAAUACGUCCCUGCUCCUUGUACACACCGCCCGUCA
rnacentral:rRNA from 1 species